UUUUAAAAGUUGCUAAUUUUUCCCUAGAAUGAUGAUAGGCAUGAAUGCAGUUUGGCUUUUGAUGGCUUCUGAUGAGCAGUUACGUGCCAAAUGGAUGAGACCUGCUACUGGGGUCCUACAGCAGAGGCUUUGCGCUGUAUUCACGGGCAAACAGGCGCUAAGCAGAAUUAGCUGGAAGUUGAAGGGGUGGACUUGAGUUUUUGACAUGUCUGGAACUUUUUUGCUACCGGGCAGACCUGUUACCCUAAGAUUAAAGGGACAUUUCACAGCAGCAGUCAAAUGCAACUUACCAGCUGAGAGAGGCAGCUGAAUGGAUGCUCCUGGGACAGAAGAGCAAACAACUUUGAAUUCUAAUAAAUAAUUAUAAACCAUCAAAAAAAAA